UACGUAGGCAGCGAGCGUUGUUCGGAGUUACUGGGCGUAAAGGGUGUGUAGGCGGUUCUUUAAGUUUGGUGUGAAAUCUCCCGGCUCAACUGGGAGGGUGCGCCGAAUACUGAGGGACUAGAGUACGGGAGAGGAAAGUGGAAUUCCUGGUGUAGCGGUGAAAUGCGUAGAUAUCAGGAGGAACACCGGUGGUGUAGACGGCUUCUGGACCGUAACUGACGCUGAGACACGAAAGCGUGGGUAGCAAACAGG
rnacentral:rRNA from 1 species